rnacentral:ncRNA from 1 species
ACAACGGCUCUUUUAAGAGCCACCCACUCGUACUGAGAGAGCAGAU